rnacentral:rRNA from 1 species
AGCAGCCGCGGUAAUUCCAGCUCCAAUAGCGUAUAUUAAAGUUGUUGCAGUUAAAAAGCUCGUAGUUGAAUUUCGGGAUCAAGGAAUCGGUCAUGCCUUGGUAUGUACUGGUUUUAUUGGUUCUCACCUUCUAAAGAACCAUAAUGUCAUUUAUUUGAUGUUAUGGGGAAUUAGGACUGUUACCUUGAAAAAUUAGAGUGUUUAAAGCAAGCUUACGCUUGAAUACAUUAGCAUGGAAUAAUGAAAUAGGACAUCAGAUUCUAUUUUGUUGGUUUCUAGGAUCGAUGUAAUGAUUAAUAGGGAUAGUUGGGGGCAUUAGUAUUCAAUUGUCAGAGGUGAAAUUCUUGGAUUUAUUGAAGACUAACUACUGCGAAAGCAUUUGCCAAGGAUGUUUUCAUUAAUCAAGAACGAAAGUU